GCUUACGGCCACACCGCCUUGUUCCGCCCGAUCUCGGAAGCUAAGAUAGGUUGGGGCCUGGUUAGUACUUGGAUGGGAGACCGCCUGGGAAUACCAGGUGCUGUAAGCU
rnacentral:rRNA from 1 species